rnacentral:misc_RNA from 1 species
GAUGAAGAACGCAGCGAAAUGCGAUAAGUAGUGUGAAUUGCAGAAUUCAGUGAAUCAUCGAAUCUUUGAACGCACAUUGCGCCCCUCGGUAUUCCGUGGGGCAUGCCUGUUCGAGCGUCAUUUACCCCUCAAGCACUGCUUGGUGUUGGGCGUCUGUCCCGCUUCGCGCGCGGACUCGCCCCAAAGGUAUUGGCAGCGGUCGUGCCAGCUUCUCGCGCAGCACAUUGCGCUUCUCGAGGCGGUCGAUCGGCGUACACGAAGCUCACCUCCACCGUUUGACCUCGGAUCAGGUAGGGAUACCCGCUGAACUUAAGCAUAUCAAUAAGCGGAGGA